rnacentral:rRNA from 1 species
AGUGAACGCUGGCGGUAGGCCUAACACAUGCAAGUCGAACAGCAGCACAGUAAGAGCUUGCUCUUACGGGUGGCGAGUGGCGGACGGGUGAGGAAUACAUCGGAAUCUACUUUUUCGUGGGGGAUAACGUAGGGAAACUUACGCUAAUACCGCAUACGACCUACGGGUGAAAGCAGGGGAUCUUCGGACCUUGCGCGAUUGAAUGAGCCGAUGUCGGAUUAGCUAGUUGGCGGGGUAAAGGCCCACCAAGGCGACGAUCCGUAGCUGGUCUGAGAGGAUGAUCAGCCACACUGGAACUGAGACACGGUCCAGACUCCUACGGGAGGCAGCAGUGGGGAAUAUUGGACGAUGGGCGCAAGCCUGAUCCAGCCAUACCGCGUGGGUGAAGAAGGCCUUCGGGUUGUAAAGCCCUUUUGUUGGGAAAGAAAAGCAGCAGGUUAAUACCCCGCUGUUCUGACGGUACCCAAAGAAUAAGCACCGGCUAACUUCGUG